GGCAAAAACGGGCCCAAUCUGUGAGUAUGAUCGAUCAAGUCAUGCUCAAGUUGCUCAGUGUCUUCACCUUGAACCUAGCCAUCUGCUCGAGCAAUUUGGUGUCGUGGGUGGCGGCAGAGUGUUUAAUUAUCGUUUUCAAUCGAGUGCCAAAAGAUAAUUGAUCCGUGAAAUUUAUGGGCGAUCUAAUUAUGUCCGGCAAAGGGCCCGUUCAUACGAGAAUUAAUAUUAAAAUAAAAUUCCGUUGGCGGUCCGUGAAGUAUUGUCGAUGCGCUGCGGGAGGCCAUUGUGGUGCCGCAGAGUGGGAUAUUGACAGGACAACUCAAUCAAAUCAUAUUUUCAAACGUGACGCAAAUUUGUCUAUUAGUGGUAAAUAAUUAUCAAUCAAUUAAGGCGAGAAGAUGGGCCGCUAAUUGAUCACCGCCAGAGCUUUGAAGAAAAAUGCCAGCAAGACCUUUAAUCAUUGGAGAGUGUGCACUAAUUUCGUGUUCACGUGCAAUGUUCUGUGCGAGAGAUCCAAAGCACAUAACCAAUGUUCUCGGGGUUGUGUAGUUGUGGUGUAAAGUGAGAUUAAAGUAAUAAAAGCACACAGUUACACACACCUUGAUUGGACAACGUUGCGGUCGCAUGGCCUGCUUACCUUUGACGAUAUGAGCGUCAAAGUUGGCGACGAUUCCUGCAACAAUUCAAAGUAUUAUUAACAUUGAAUGGAAGGGACAACAGAGUUGCCUCGUUAAAUUCACAGCCCGGAAUUCACACUUUCCUACGACUUUUAGUUCUCGAGUUAUAAAUUAAAACAGCAUUAAAAUCACCAUGAUCAUCAAAUAUUUUAUUGUCCCAACGAACCUGGAUUUAAAAUUCCAACGUGUUUUGAAAUCUAAGAUUUUUGGAUCAAUGCAGGGCUUCUGGACUUCAAGAAGCCAAUUUUUCAGGAGACACUCGCAAUAAAUGAAGCAAUAAGUUGCAUAAUGUAGCUCAAACACAUCAGGCUGAAGGAGCACCGCAUUCGAAAGUGCCACUUUGGUGCUUGUGGGAAUUGUAUAAGACACCGAAUAUUUUACUCCUACAAAAGCAACUCCUGAAAUGUGGUGGCACUUUUAUAGACAGCAAGUUAUUAAAUUGUGACAAACAAAGCCCCCGAAAUUGUAUUUCGGACGUAUCUGUUGAUUCAAUCUAACAGCACCCGAUUAAAAUAAUAAUUUUAAAUUGGGCUCUUCCAUAAAUCGGUGGCCCACGAGACAAAAUUGUGGCUACUAAUGUGACCAUAUUGAAAUAAAACUUUAGCUUAACAAUUUGCAGGCGAUGGGGAAGUGUUAAUUUGGGCAGCAGGCGAAAGCUGCGCAUACAAAGCGCCCCCUGACCUUGGCGAAGCUGGCUCAUAAAAUUUGCGCCUAAAAAGAGCACGAGCAAAAAGUCGAAGACGGCAUUGUUGAGCGUCUGGACCAUAUAUAGGUCGGCUGGUUAUAUAAGCUUGGCUUCGCUUUUCGCUUUUUUAUUCUUUUAGCCACAUGUCUGGCGCUGCUGCAAAAUGGCAUCUGCUACCAGCCAGCACGUGCUUCGAAAUAUAGGAAAAGCUCAUGGUUAUUUCGAUUCCGCAUGAUUCAGUUUUAUACGGCAGGCUUCAGCUGCCCUGAAUUAAUUACGAAAGCUGCACAUGGCGGGAUGCAAAGCUCCGGAAUGGCCGUAAAAACACAGCACUAGACACACUGUUGUGUUCAACAAUAAUUACAUCUUAAGCCACCCACUUGCUUUUUUUGCUAGGUAUUUGGUGCCAUUAACCAGAAUGAAUAAAAUGGUGUGGGAUUCUCAGAAUUAUUAUGGCCGAAGUCUCUAAAUAAAAGGCCGAAUAAUAAAUUCUUACAAUGCAGUUGGCUGCAGAAAGGUUGAGAAGAACAAAAAAAUAUAUUGCAUUGCUAUUUAAUGAACGCUAACUCCUACAGAUGGGAUCAGGUAGAUUCCGAGGGUAAAUCGCCACAGAACUUGAAAAGUGUAGAUGGCCACCAGGCAAGCUCCAGCCAGCAACUCACAGCGUCACUUGUAUUAUUUGAAAUAAAUAAAUGUUAUAAAUUAUUCCACAACGGAGUAAAUAAAUUUGUUUG